rnacentral:rRNA from 1 species
UCGCUACUACCGAUUGAAUGUUUUAGUGAGGCCUCGGGACCGACGCUUGGGGGCUGGCAACAGCCCCCUUGCGUUGGGAACUUGAACAAACUUGAGCAUUUAGAGGAAGUAA